rfam:Asian citrus Psyllid, Diaphorina citri - Florida Strain, whole genome shotgun sequence.
GCUCCCAUGGCGUAGUGGUCACUGCGCUCGCCUUGCACGCGGGAGACCCGGGUUCGAUUCCCGGCGGAGUC